rnacentral:rRNA from 1 species
UACGGAGGGUGCAAGCGUUGUCCGGAAUCACUGGGCGUAAAGGGCGCGUAGGCGGCCUGGUAAGUAGGGGGUGAAAUCCUGCGGCUUAACCGCAGGGCUGCCUUCUAAACUGUCAGGCUUGAGCACGGUAGAGGCAGAUGGAAUUCCUGGUGUAGCGGUGAAAUGCGCAGAUAUCAGGAGGAACACCAGUGGCGAAGGCGCCGCUCUGGGCCGAGACUGACGCUGAGGAGCGAAAGCGUGGGUAGCAAACAGG